GACGAACGCUGGCGGCGUGCUUAACACAUGCAAGUCGAACGGAAAGGCCCUGCUUUUGUGGGGUGCUCGAGUGGCGAACGGGUGAGUAACACGUGAGUAACCUGCCCUUGACUUUGGGAUAACUUCAGGAAACUGGGGCUAAUACCGGAUAGGAGCUCCUGCUGCAUGGUGGGGGUUGGAAAGUUUCGGCGGUUGGGGAUGGACUCGCGGCUUAUCAGCUUGUUGGUGGGGUAGUGGCUUACCAAGGCUUUGACGGGUAGCCGGCCUGGGAGGUUGACCGGCCACAUUGGGACUGCGAUACGGCGCAGACUCCUACGGGAGGCAGCGGUGGGGAAUAUUGCACAAUGGGCAGGAGCCUGAUGCAGCAACGCCGCGUGCGGGAUGACGGCCUUCGGGUUGUGAACCGCUUUCGCCUGUGACGAGGCGUGAGUGACGGUAAUGGGUAAAGAAGCACCGGCUAACUACGUG
rnacentral:rRNA from 1 species